AUUGAACGCUGGCGGCAGGCCUAACACAUGCAAGUCGAGCGGAUGAAGGGAGCUUGCUCCUGGAUUCAGCGGCGGACGGGUGAGUAAUGCCUAGGAAUCUGCCUGGUAGUGGGGGAUAACGUCCGGAAACGGGCGCUAAUACCGCAUACGUCCUGAGGGAGAAAGUGGGGGAUCUUCGGACCUCACGCUAUCAGAUGAGCCUAGGUCGGAUUAGCUAGUUGGUGGGGUAAAGGCCUACCAAGGCGACGAUCCGUAACUGGUCUGAGAGGGUGAUCAGUCACACUGGAACUGAGACACGGUCCAGACUCCUACGGGAGGCAGCAGUGGGGAAUAUUGGACAAUGGGCGAAAGCCUGAUCCAGCCAUGCCGCGUGUGUGAAGAAGGUCUUCGGAUUGUAAAGCACUUUAAGUUGGGAGGAAGGGCAGUAAGUUAAUACCUCGCUGUUUUGACGUUACCAACAGAAUAAGCACCGGCUAACUUCGUG
rnacentral:rRNA from 1 species